GAAUCCUGUAUUCCUUGCUCUGCGGUAUCUUGUUAGAGACCUCAGCGUUGCUGCUACUGUAAGUGACUCUGUUGCUGCUUCUGCUCCUCGGCGUCUGCAGGCAGCAAUUGUGCCUGCAUCUUGAGAUUUUUAUCUUCCACUAGUUUGAGAUGAAGUAUUUGCAGCAAGGGCUUGAUUGUCGUCACCUAUAACAGGAGAGAGAGAGAGAGAGAGAGAGACAGACUUGCAGCCAGAGAAAUUGCUUCCUUCGAAAUCCCACCACCGAGUGAUUUACUUCUCUCAAGAGAAUUGUGCCCACUCAAUGAACAAAUUGCAGAGGGCGCAGCUCCACCACCGUAACUUGAAGUGUGGCGAUACUUUGCUUCCUUCCCCCCCACACCUUUCUGUGUAGCAAACGAGCAAGUUAAAACGCAGCAUGCAGAUGGCUGUAGAAUUUAUUCGGACGGAGAUGCUGCCUUUUUGAAGCUGAUCUGGGAGAAAAAAAGUGGGGCAGUCGGGGGAACCCUGGAGAACUGGUUUGGAAGAAAUGCUGACAUACUGUACAUUGUGCUAAAAUCUGCAAUGGUUCUGAGCUUGGGCACAAAAAAUGGAUUUCAGAUGCAUGCCAGGUUCCCACUGAAUGCC
rnacentral:lncRNA from 1 species